rnacentral:ncRNA from 2 species
GAAUAACCGUUGGGGUGUUCAUGUGAACUGAGAGGCCGUCUGGCUAACCCAUAGAACCUGAUCCGGGCAAUGCCGGCGUAGGAAACGGAUAUAACUCCGCU